rnacentral:rRNA from 1 species
GACGGAGGAUGCAAGUGUUAUCCGGAAUCACUGGGCGUAAGCGUCUGUAGGUGGUUUAAAAAGUCUAUUGUUAAAAAUUGAAGCUUAACUUCAAAGAUGCAAUGGAAACUUUUAAACUUGAGUAUGGUAGGGGUAGAGGGAAUUUCCAGUGGAGCGGUGAAAUGCGUAGAGAUCGGAAAGAACACCAACGGCGAAAGCACUCUGCUGGGCCGACACUGACACUGAGAGACGAAAGCUAGGGGAGCGAAUGGG